UAGCACCAUGAUUUUCAUCCCUAGCUUUCUGACUCUGAAGUGCAUGAGAAGUUGUGUACUUAAAAGUACGAUUUUAAUAAAUUAGGAUCAGUUUUCAUUCAUUUGUACGAGAGGCUUCAAGUGAAUCAUUUUCAUGUAAAUAUAUACAUACAUACAUACAUAAAUUGUGGGUUAAUGUACAUUGUGUAAGUGGCGUAAAUAGUUUGAUUAACCUUUGACAUAUUCCAAAAUUGAAAAAUGGGGAUUUCAGAGUGUACAAACCGCUUUUAUUACUGGGUGGACGACACAAUCGUGGUUAUCAAACCGUUCACUGUGACAGUUUUAGUUAUCUCGUGGUUCAUCCUUUUAUGGAAGUUGUCUCCCAUGGCGUUUAUCGUGGUUGGAAUAGCGUUGCUAAAUUUUACAAUUACAUUUGGUCUGCUAAUUGUUGGUCUCUUGGACAAAGGCAGAUAUGGGUUUUAGAAUUUAGUCGCGUUGAUGUUUGUAGUACCAUUGUUUUUUAAUUUCUAAAUAUGCAUAUGUACAUAUUUACGUAUAUAUGUAUGUAAAUGAAUACAUGUAUGUAUUAACGUAUACGUUAAUUUGAGGUCUGUUUAAUUCCGAACUUAGGUACGUACAUACUUGAAGGUUGGAUGAUCUCAUUAGUUUGUUACUAAAUAUCACGUUUUUAUGAAUUAGUCAUAAUUAUAAUUCUUGUCAAUAAAAGUACUUCUGUAUGUACAACUUAUGUUGCAUUAUGAGUGCUCUACAAAUAAGUUAAGUAUUUGAUAAAUUAAAUAAUUGUUAUUCUUGUUUUGACGAAAUUCUUUAUACGGAAAACACGCAUUUAUAUACACACCCAGGGAGAAAUUUAUUGUACUACAUAGUAUAACUAUUUCAAGGUUAUAAAUAUUGUUUCAAGACCGAAAUUUGACUUUUCAUUCAUUUUAUAUAAGUCAAAAGCGAUGAAGGUUGGAAAUACAUUUCUAGAAUUUCUGAUCUGAUUUUUACAGAAUUAAGUAUGUACAUAUUCUAUUCAUUUAUACAAAAACAUGCGCUUCACGUAAAUUUCCGCUAGAAUGCGACCAUCGUUUUUGGGUGAAUGUCGGCCUCUUCACGUAUGUACUUACCGCUAUGCCAUCUUAUCUUGAUUAGUUAUUUGUUGAUUAUAUUUCUCGGCUUAUUAUCGGUUGAUUAUAUUUAUAUUUAUAUUACUCCAGUCCAACAUAUGUAUGUUGCCAACAAUUUUCUUUACGACCACAUAAAGCUUGAUUUAAAUGUUUACAAAAUGUAUCAACUCGAUUUUAUCUAAUGUCAUCAAAAUCUCAAGCAAUUAUCAUUCUAGUACAAUAAUAAAGUAAUCCACAGUUGUACAGAAUACAUUAAGUACUUAAGUAUGGCAGAAGGUUAAUUUGUAGUAUUAUUUAUUAUUAUUAUUAUCUUUACAUAAUAUUAUUUUUCAUGCCAAAGUUAAUAGUAGCGCUGCUCAUCAAAGUCACCAUCAAUUUUGUUUGCAGAGAUCCAUUUAUCGCAAAGUUUGGGGUAGUACAUGAAGUAUGUCAUGGAUUUUAUGGGGCAGUUUGAAAGUCCGAGAACAUUUCCCAGGUGCUGCCCUUGUCCAAAUUUGGUUAUAUACUCUCCAUUCGCGUAUGGGUUGAACUUUUAUAGAAAUAGAGAAACUACGCCACUGUCAGUCUCAAAUUGCCUCACGUUAUUCGAACGGGAGACUUUGAGACUUGCAGUGGUGUAGUUUCGCAGAAUUCUCAAUUUCUGUAAAAGUUCGCGUACUUUAUCUUGGCGACAAAACGUGUGUCACAGUUUGAUAACGAGCAUUAUGAACGGUCCACUACCGCAAUUUAUAAAAUUGGAGGUCAACAUUAAAACACCAGAUGCAUCGUGAAAAACAAAAUUACUUUUUUUCAAAAUGGUAUAAAAUCGUCUGCUUCUAGCAUACUCAAAUCACUACAAAUUUCCAUCUCCAAUCAGAGCAAACAUGAACAGAGGAUUUUUAUCAGUUGUUUUGGCAAUUUGUGUGCUGUCAUCUGUGGCAGCCACACCUACUCUGGUUGAAAUUUGCGGCGAUGUGUCAGACUACGCUGACCCGCAAGACUACUUCGCAUGCGCAGAUAAGUAUUGCCUGGAUUACGGGGUGGUUGGGGACGACGGAGAAUGCAUCUCCACCUCAACUUGAAACGUAAAAAUUUGCCACGUUGAGCAGCUAAACACUGAUAAUAAAUACAUAAAUUCAAGCACAAUAAACUAAUUACGAAUGUUCUAUUCA